GAGCAUCAAAAAGAAAAAUAUAUAUUAAGUAAUUUAGUGACGAUGGUGUCAUGUUGUGUGCCGGGUUGUAGUGUUUCAGGGCCAAAAAACCCAGGAAAAUACUCAUUUCACAGGUGCACAUGUUUAGCGAUAAAUUUAAACUUCACUUUCCAACACAGUACUUACAUUUUAUACACUUUUCCACGGCUUUGCCGUCAACACAAGGAAACACAAGACAGCGUAUACUUGUACACAGCGUAUACACACCCAACCCAACUUGUCAGCAGGAAAAGGCGCGAAAUUCAAAUUUUCUUUGGUAAGUCAACUCUUUGCGAACACAUUUUCAAACAACUUCAACUUUAUCAUUUUCAACUUUUUCAAACACAUUUGAAAAAGUAGUCGAUAAAGCAGUUAAACAUCGAUAGAUUAUUAAUAUGUUGUAACAUGACAUCACUAUUUUUGUUCGCACAUAGACAAUUUACGCACA